ACUCUACCCACUCAGGUUGCCCAGAGAGCACUUUAGGUUCUGACCCGCGUGGGGCGCGAGGUCCCCCGUGGGGCAGCUAGGUGCCUCCAAGAAACCCCGCCCCAGAGGACCCGCACGAGUUGCUGCCAUUUUUCGCUGAAGCCCCUGCCCUGGGGCUGGUGUUCUUCUCUAUGAUUCUACCAAUCGUCGGCAUUUUUUUCCUCCCUUCUUUCUUUUUAGGAAGGCGCUGGGGUGUGCGGCGGCAACGGCGGCGGUGAAGGGAUCCUCUUGUGGUAUCUCCUCGUGGGUUCCUGUCUUGAAGGAUUUCUUCUCCGCCUCAACUUUGUGUUCAAGUAGCGCUUUGGGGGUUGGGUUGGUUUUCAUAGCCCCCACCCCCGGCCCUCUCCUUUUAAAGGGUGUGUGGAGUUCAGAGGAUGGGUGGAGAGCGGGCUUGGCCGGAACUGAAUUGGUGGAGGUAAAAGGGGAACGGAGGACCUUAAGCUCUGGCCACUUCGGCCCAGGGAACCCACUUUAUUUUUGUCCAAGGAAAAGCUGCAGGGGGGAGGAUUCUUUUUAGGAAGUCUACUCUGCCGGACCCUGAUUUUUGGGUUGGAUGCUUGAGAGCUUUGUUUCCCUUGUUCCGAGAGUGGCCCAGCUGGGUCUGAAUCGACUCCCUCCCCUUUCGAUCCCCUCCUCAUUUUCCAGCCCGGAGAAAUAGGGGAGUGGGGGCCCAAGAACGAGAAGACGAGAACGCGUCGCCCUGCGCUAUGUCAGAAUGGGGCGGGUGUGAGGGGAACAGCUCUCUUGCUAUCAGCUCAGGAGUAUGAGCCUCCCGGAGGACGGCAUGAGUUUUGGACACUUCAGGAGUCCUCAGCUAGUGACAUGGUCGAUAUGGAUAAACUCAUAAACAACUUGGAAGUCCAACUUAAUUCAGAAGGUGGCUCAAUGCAGGUAUUCAAGCAGGUCACUGCUUCUGUUCGGAACAGAGAUCCCCCUGAGAUAGAAUACAGAAGUAAUAUGACUUCUCCAACACUCCUGGAUGCCAACCCCAUGGAGAACCCAGCACUGUUUAAUGACAUCAAGAUUGAGCCCCCAGAAGAACUUUUGGCUAGUGAUUUCAGCCUGCCCCAAGUGGAACCAGUUGACCUCUCCUUUCACAAGCCCAAGGCUCCUCUCCAGCCUGCUAGCAUGCUACAAGCUCCAAUACGUCCCCCCAAGCCACAGUCUUCUCCCCAGACCCUUGUGGUGUCCACGUCAACAUCUGACAUGAGCACUUCAGCAAACAUUCCUACUGUUCUGACCCCAGGCUCUGUCCUGACCUCUCAGAGCACUGGUGGCCAGCAGAUCUUACAUGUCAUUCACACUAUCCCCUCAGUCAGUCUGCCAAAUAAGAUGGGUGGCCUGAAGACCAUCCCAGUGGUAGUGCAGUCUCUGCCCAUGGUGUAUACUACUUUGCCUGCAGAUGGGGGCCCUGCAGCCAUUACAGUCCCACUCAUUGGAGGAGAUGGUAAAAAUGCUGGAUCAGGUAAGUAACAAUAUUGCCCCUUUCCUGGCCUUCCUGAAUCUAUUCCCUUUUUGAGUCAUCCUAUCUCCUGUCUCUUUUCACUUCCUCCAAUUAUUCUUGCACACUGCUUCAAAAGUAAUCUUUCAAAAGUACUGUUUUUUAUCAUGUUUUUUUAAUGCUUAAGAAUGUACAAUGACUCUUGAUUAGACCAUGCUUCUCAAACAAGUAUGCAUAUCUAUCAGUGACAUAUCAAACAACUUCCUGGAACUUCCAUAUUAUUUGAUAUUAAAUAAUUUAAGCAUUUUAUAUUUAAAAUAUGAUUAUCUUGUAUUACAAAAUGCAAAAUUUAAAAACCUGUUAAGAUAAACCACAUACUUCAAAAAUAGUUGAAGCUUACUAAAGGCAUCCACUCUCAGACUCUUCAGGAGAAUGUGUUCAUUUUAUGCCAUUCAGAAUGCUUUGGUGGAAAAGUUGAGAACAAUAUUUCUAUCUCAAACAUACUUAGCCAGUAUUAGCUCCUGCCUCUACCAAUACUUUCCCUUUUCUCUUCCCUACAAAAGAAGUAAUUGAAAUAUUGUCAUCUUCCCUGUAUUCUUCCUCAUUUGGCAUCUAUCACUUUCCAUUUUACUUAUUUAUUUGCCUGUAUCACAAGUGUCUGGGCAUUAUUCACAACUGAAUUGUAAAUUCCUGAAAAAUAAUACUCUAUCUUAAUUUUUUUUAUGUAUGCCUUCAGAGAACUUAACACAGUGCUAGUAGUUGUCUUGCAACAGAUAAUUUGAUGAACAAACAAACUUGAAAAUUUGUCCAAGAGAGAAUUCAAAUGCUACAAUCUUCCAUUUUAUUUUAUUUUAAAAAUAAGUUCAGAAUUCAGAAAGGUAUAAAUUAAGUCUCUCUUCCACCACAAUCCCCCAACCACUAGUUCUCCUCCCAGAGGUGUAUCUGUUUUAGUUUGUAAUCAGGAAUGAUCAAGGAAAAUUAUGUGGCCUCUAAAGGAGGCUGAUAAUGUUUUGCAUAAAUCGGAAAGGCCAAGGGGUGGAAAUGACUAGGAAGCAGAUUUCAGCUUACUAUAAAAGAGUAUCUACCCUUGAAAUUUGAUGCCCUGUACUAAAUGUAGGAGGCUGAAAAACAACAUACUACUAAGCAUCAAGUUGCUGAGACUCUGCACUGGUCUUCUGAAUACAAAUAUUAUCAUUGACUAGUGGUUAAUUGUGGUAAUGAUAAGUGUUCAUAAUCUUAUUUUGAGAUAUGAUAUCCAUUCCAUAUAUGAAGGGAGAGCCAAACAAACAAACCAAAAAAAGGAAACAAACAAAAAAGGAAAUAAAAUUCCCCAUGUGAGAGUUUGCUGAGAUAAAGGCAGUGGUAGCAUCAAAGGAUGGUUUGAAGGAGCUUUAAAUAUUCCCCAUAAUAUCAUCAGUCCAUCAGAGCCACUCUAAAUAAACAGGAUAAAUUUUAAAUGUGCUCAGUGUGGUUCCAAGCUAAGGGCAUUGGCCCAAUGGUGUCUGUAUUAGUUCGUUUUCAUGCUGCUGAUAAAGACAUACUCGAGACUGGGAAGAAAAAGAGGUUUAAUUGGACUUACAGUUCCACAUGGCUGGGGAGGCCUCGGAAUCAUGGCGGGAGGCAAAAGGCACUUCUUACAUGGUGGCAGCAAGAGAAAAGGAAGAAAGAAUAGUGGAAACCCCUGAUAAGCCCAUCAGAUCUCAUGAGACUUAUUCAGUAUCAUGAGAAUAGCAGGGGAAAACUGGCCCCCAUGAUUCAAUUAACUCCUCCUGAGUCCCUCCCACAACAUGUGGAAAUUCUGAGAGAUACAAUGCAAGUUGAGAUUUGGGUGGGGGCACAGCCAAACCACAUCAAUAUCCAAAAUGGGGGGCUUACUAAACCUUAGGGGGCACAUAUAAAACAAUUGGAGUGCAAGAAGAAAGUAUCAAAGUUUGUAUUUUCUUACCCUUAAAAAUUGACAGGUAAUAUUGUAUGUUUUUAUCAUCUAUAGCAUGAUGUUUUGAAGUACAUAUGCAUUGUGGAAUGGUUAAAUCUAGCUAAAUAACGAAUGCAUUACCUUAUUAUCAUUUUUGUGGUGAGAACGCUUAAUAUCCAUUCUCUUUACAAUUUUAAUAAAUAAAAUGUAUCAUCAUUAACUAUACUUGCCUUGCUAUACAAUAGAUCUCUUGAAAUGGAUUCCUCCUAUCUAACUAUAAUUAUGUAUCCUUUGACCAACAUCUCCCCAUCCCCCUCCCCACUAGCCACCCCAGCCUCUGGUAACUACCAUUCUACUCUACUUGCAUGAGAUUAACUUUUUUAGAUUCCACAUAUGAGUGAGAUCAUGCACUAUUUGUCCUUCUGUGCCUGGCAUAUUUCACUUAACAUAAUGUCCUCCUGGUUCAUCUAUGCCCUCACAAAUGGCAGGAUUUUAUUCUUUGUUAUAGCUGAAUAAUAUUAUAUUGUGUAUAUAUAUGUCGCAUUUCAUUUAUUCAUUCAUUUGUUGAUAGAUAUUUUAGAUUGGUUCCACAUCUUGGCUAUUGUGAAUAAUGCUGCACUAAACAGGGAUGCAGAUAUCUUUUGGGCAUGUGAUUUUAUUUCCUUUGGAUAGAUACCCAAAAGGGAGAUUGCCAGAUCAUACGGUAGUUCUAAUUUUAAUUUUUUGAGGAAUCUCCAUACUAUUUUCCAUAAAGGCUAUAAAUAGUUUACAUUCCCAUCAACAGUGCGUAAGGGUUCCCUUUUCUCCACAUACUCACCAGCACUUACUGUCUUUUGUCUUUUUGAUAAUAAUCACUCUAACUUAAGUGAGAUGACGUACUACUUUUUGUUUGUUUUCUUAUAAUGUGUACAAAAUUGUAGGAUACCAAUACAUGUAUAUCACAUACAUGCACAAACAUGCACACCUCAAGAUACAUGCUUAAAACUUUUUAGUGAAUGAUAUGCAAAGUAUAGAGACAACUCUUUUAACCAAAUACUUGUUCCCCACCUUAUCACCACCCCCAAGUUUCUUCUCUAUAGAAAUUUUGAAGGUUUCACUGGAUCUAGGAGACUGUUGACCACCUGAUUGAGUUUUGUGAGGAAUUAGAAACAUCAGUGGUGAUAAUAAGGAAUAUUUGACAGCUUCUCCCAACAUAGGUGGAAAGGAAGGUUGUAUCAAGCACCUACUAGGUGGUAGGUGUAUGUUUCAUCUCAUUGACUCAUUUCUAUUUAGGAGCAGAAAGGCCAAGGUGGAUGUUCUCACAUCUGGACUAAUCCUAGAAUUUGAUUUUAGGACAGCCAGGAGCUAUUCAGUGAGUUCAAUUCAACACACACACACACACACACGUUGAAACUAACUUUUCAGCAGACCCUGUCCUGGUAGCUGGAGAUAGAGAGAUGAAUCAUACCCAGCCCAUAUCCUAGAGACACUCUCAUUUGAUACCACUCAGUGGUAUCAGAACUCUUCAUACUGCUCUUACUUUAAAGGCAUUUCUGUUCCCUGCUAUGCAAAAAAAAUAAAAUGUUAUUCUCUUCCUUCCAUGCAAAUACACUUCUUUCAUCUUGUUUUUUUUUUUUUUUCUUUAUUUCUCUAUCUUGCUGCCACUUCUUAAGGUGGGACAAAUUGGGAAUCCUGAAAAUGAUUAAAGAGGCACAUACAUCCUUAGCUCACACUGCUCCCUUUCUUUGCUUUUAGUGAAAGUUGACCCCACCUCCAUGUCUCCACUGGAAAUUCCAAGUGACAGUGAGGAGAGUACAAUUGAGAGUGGAUCCUCAGCCUUACAGAGUCUGCAGGGACUACAGCAAGAACCAGCAGCAAUGGCCCAAAUGCAGGGAGAAGAGUCGCUUGACUUGAAGAGAAGACGGAUUCACCAAUGUGACUUUGCAGGAUGCAGCAAAGUGUACACCAAGAGCUCUCACCUGAAAGCUCACCGCAGAAUCCAUACAGGAGAGAAGCCUUAUAAAUGCACCUGGGAUGGCUGCUCCUGGAAAUUUGCUCGCUCAGAUGAGCUCACUCGCCAUUUCCGCAAGCACACAGGCAUCAAGCCUUUUCGGUGCACAGACUGCAACCGCAGCUUUUCUCGUUCUGACCACCUGUCCCUGCAUCGCCGUCGCCAUGACACCAUGUGAGCUGCACAGGUCACACUAGAGAAGCUGCGCUGGUAUCUUUCCUGUGCGUGUGCUGAGGUCGGGACAAUUUUUUCCUCUUUGACUUCAGCUUGCAUAUGGGGUUGAAGCAGCCCACUGAGCCAAGUUGAGGAGACUGGAGGAAAAGAGAGCUGGUCUCCCGUGGGGCCCUUCAUAUUCUACCUUCACUUCUCCACUGUCCAGAUCCGUUUUUUUCAACCUCCACAUGGGUUGAAUUCCAGUGUGGCACCCAUGGCUGCCUUCCCAUCCCCCCUGCUCUGAAAUAGGACAUUUUUCCUACAGUAACAAAACAGGAAUCAAACUCAAGGCUGUGAACAAACAUACGCUGCUUUAUUCUUUCCAGUUUUUCUCUUGUUUUCUAGAACUCUUAUCCAUAUGUUUUUUAAAUAAGUACCUAAAAGUGGUUUGAUAGUGUCCUAAAUGACUUUUUUAACUUCCUAAAUGGAAAGAGCAUAACAGUGUAGUUGAUUGGUAAGAUUUACAGGGAUUUGGUUUCUGAGUUUGAGGCACAUCCCCAGUGAAUAAGCUGAGUCCCAUACCACACUCAAAAGGUUUUAAUAAAUCUAAUCCUAUUUCUUCUUAAAGUUUGGUUUUCAGACAGUGCUGGUACUUCUGCUUCUUAAGUUCAUCAAGGGAAUGAGGAGUUCUUGUCCUUCUCCUCCUCUUUUUCUUCUUUUCCACUUUCUCCUUCGGGAUUAAAGAUUUUGCUGCACAAUUAUUAUUUGUUAGGUUAAAUUUGGACAAAUAUUCAAAGCACACAUAGACAUAUCAGUAAGGAGAAAAAUGUUCCAGGAGAGUAGGUUGGGCAGUGACAGGAACAAACAGACCUAGGAUGAUCCUGAGAACAAAUAGAGGGAUUCAUUUACUUGGAUAGGAUAUCAAAAGUGCUGUUAAUCACAAACCUCAUUCAAAUGGCAGGCUGUCGAGACAGUGUCUUGAGGGGCUGGCUGUACUGUUUAUUUUUUCGUUUACACAAAGAAGCAAUUGAGUAUAUUGCAUGAUGAGAAAUCACACACUAGGGGCAUGUUAUACAGAAGUAAGGGGUUGGAAAAACGGAAUGUUGUUCACUCCAUGGAAUUAUUGGCAUUCAUUCCUGUGUUUCAAAUGAAACAUAAGAUGCUUUUCAUGAAAACUGACAUACAAAAAGCAAUUUGAUGUUCUGCAACUGCUAUGAAAACCUAAGCCAUUUAUUUUAGCUAUGAUAGCAGAUUGCAUAAUAUACUCAUUUAGCUGCCCAAUCAGAUUGUUUUAUAAUAUUACCUGGGGUACAAAAUCCUCUGUUCCUGGCCCUGGACCACAGAUCUACCUCCACAUGGCAUAUUUCCUUUCCUGGGGUCAGGGGUGGGGGAGGGGGCUUUGCAUCACUUGAAUUUGGACUCAGCCUCUCUUUUAAAGAUUGUCUUUAUAUUGAACACCUUUUUCUUUUCAACCCUGCUUGAAUACUUUAGGUUACUAUUUCCUGAGGCUGUCCAUUCUUACUAAAUUGUAGAAUUCUAGGCACCAAGAAGGGAUCCCAUUAACCAUCUAGUCCUACCCAUCUCUCAUAUUUUACAGAUGAGGCAAAUACGGGUCACAUUUUUUUCUCCAGAUGUUUCUUUGAGCCCUUAUACACCUGCACGCUUAUUCUCCUAGGGAUCACAUAAUUUUAUUUAUUUAUUUUUUGAGAGACGGUUUUACUCCGUCACCCAGGCUGGAGUGCAGUGGCGUAAUCUCAGCUCACUGCAACCUCCGCCUCCUGGAUUCAAGUGAUUCUCCUGCCUCAGCCUCCCAAAUAGCUUGGAUUACAGGUGCGUGCCACCACACCUGGCUAAGCUUUGUAUUAUUAGUAGAGAUGGGGUUUCGCCAUGUUGGCCAGGCUGGUCUCAAACUCCUGACCUCAAGUGAUCCCCCCACCUCCGCUUCCCAAAGUGCUGGGAUUACAGGCGUGAGCCACCACGCCUGGCCAGGAUCACAUUAUUAAACCAAAUUAAAGUUUAUGUGAUUGGUUGCAAUAUUUGUCUAAUUUUAUAUGUUAUUCUUCAGAAAAACUUUAGAACUCAAAAAUCAUUUACAGCUGAUUAAAUAGCAAGUAAAAUGUACUUGUGGUCAUUGCCGUAUAACAUUAGGCACACGCUUCUAACACUUCUAUAAUAUCUAGAUUUUAUUUACCUCAUUUUAACUUGCAAUGUCUGUCUAGCUCAUGAACUCUCCAUAAAUCCAAGAACUGCCUGUAGUUUUCAAAAUGACACAUGGGUUUUUACGGUUAUCAUUGUUAUUUCGAUAGGGCUUUUUCCUGAUUUUGGGUAUACAAGUUCCAAACUUGCAUAAUAAUUGCCAACGCACUAGGUGAUAUCUAGGGCCAGUCUGUUAAAGCGGACCUCUAAUGCAGCUGUAAGACAGAUUGGUAAAGAUGAACUAACAUAAGUUUAAGCUAAUAAUUCAGUAGUUGAUGCAGUAUUUCACAGUAGAGCCCGAGCUUACUCAUUUUCUUCAAAAUUUGGAUCCUGAUACUCCUUUUUCAGAGUUCAGAACUGAACUGCUCCCCUAAGAUCUCAGAAUCUUUUGCAUUGAGACAUAUGAUCUAUUUAUAAAUAAAGGUUAUCAAAUAUCUUGUUGAACUAAUUAGGUUGAUCAAAUUAGGAUCCCAAAUAUUGGGGUCCCUGACAUCUGAGCCUUUAUCUAAAAAUGUUUCUGUAACAUAAUGACAGCCUUUAUGUUUGUUAAUUGCCUAUAGUAAAGAAGCAAUUUUAAGCCUAUUCUCAUUUCCCUCUCCCCUCCAAAAAAUGAUAAAAGCUUUCUAAUUACUUACAUAUGCUCUAAGAAGUGUCUCAGGAUUCAUUAACAGAAUUUUAUAGAGUACAGGAAUUCAAAUAUAGGACAGUACAGAGUUUACCAAAAACACAUAAAACUUUGCUAGAUAGACAGUGAGGUGGAAAGGAACUAAAAUGUAUCUCUCUUGAAUAGCAUUUGGGGUUCUAUUGAAUUUGUUGUGUUUACAACAGCAAAGCACCUUUAGCCUGGACAGUUGCUUAGGGCAUCGAUAGGACUGGGUAAUAUUCUGGGAUUUGUUGCAGCAGAAUUCCUCUAUCUGAUGAUCAGCAGUUAAACAUAAACUUCAUAAUUAUAGUAAAAUUUAGGAAAAACUAUGAGUGUGAAGAGUAUGAACUGAUUGGGUAGAUUAGGAAGAGUGCAUUAUGGGCAAGACAAAGGUUUUCGAUAUUAACUUCUUUUAAAAUAAACUUUUUAUUUUCAAACAGUUUCAGAUUUACAGAAAAAAUGUGAAGCUAUUACAGAGAGGUCUCAUUUACCCCACACCCAGUUUCUCCUAUUAUUAACAUCUCACAUUAGUAUGUGGUAUAUUUGUUACAAUUAAUGAAACACAUUGAUAUGUUAAUAUU
rnacentral:sRNA from 1 species